UACGGGGGUGCGAGCGUUGUCCGGAAUCAUUGGGCGUAAAGGGCGCGUAGGUGGCGGGACAAGCGUGGCGGUGAAAGCCUGGGGCUCAACCCCGGGUCGGCCGUGUGAACUGUUUUGCUUGAGCACUGUAGAGGCAGGCGGAAUUCCUGGUGUAGCGGUGAAAUGCGCAGAUAUCAGGAGGAACACCAGUGGCGAAGGCGGUGCUCGUGGGCCGGUACUGACGCUGAGGAGCGAAAGCGUGGGUAGCAAACAGG
rnacentral:rRNA from 1 species